rnacentral:pre_miRNA from 1 species
CUAGUAUUCUCUCCGUCGGGAAUUACUUGUCGUAGAAAUGGGUGUAUAUAGAUGUAUUUUAGUUUUACAUACAUCCAGUUUCAUUCAUUUAUGUGAAAAGUAAUUUGAGACGGUGGGAGUAGUAG